ensembl:lncRNA
GGGGACACUGGGAGGAACUGGGAGGGACUGGGAGGGACUGGGAGGCACUGGGAGCAACUGGUGGGGGUUGGGAGGGAAAUGGGAAGGGACUGGGAGCAACUGGUGGGCACUGGGAGGGACUGGGAGGGAGCUUGGGGGCACUGGGAGGGAGCUGGAAGGGACUGGGGGGCACUGGGAGGAACUGGGAGGAACUGGGAGGGACUGGGAGGCACUGGGAGCAACUGGUGGGGGUUGGGAGGGAAAGGGGAAGGGACUGGGAGCAACUGGUGGGCACUGGGAGGGAGCUUGGGGGCACUGGGAGGGAGCUGGAAGGGACUGGUGGGCACUGGGAGGCACUGGGAGGCACUGGGAGGCACUGGGAGCAACUGGUGGGGGUUGGGAGGGAAAGGGGAAGGGACUGGGAGCAACUGGUGGGCACUGGGAGGGACUGGGAGGGAGCUUGGGGGCACUGGGAGGGAGCUGGAAGGGACUGGGGGGCACUGGGAGGGACUGGGAGGGACUGGGAGGCACUGGGAGGGAGCUGGAAGGGACUGGUGGGGGUUGGGAGGGAAAUGGGAAGGGACUGGGAGCAACUGGUGGGCACUGGGAGGGAGCUUGGGGGCACUGGGAGGGAGCUGGAAGGGACUGGGAGGCACUGGGAGGGACUGGGAGGCACUGGGAGGGAGCUGGAAGGGACUGGUGGGGGUUGGGAGGGAAAUGGGAAGGGACUGGGAGCAACUGGUGGGCACUGGGAGGGACUGGGAGGGAGCUUGGGGGCACUGGGAGGGAGCUGGAAGGGACUGGGGGGCACUGGGAGGAACUGGGAGGGACUGGGAGGGACUGGGAGGCACUGGGAGCAACUGGUGGGGGUUGGGAGGGAAAUGGGAAGGGACUGGGAGCAACUGGUGGGCACUGGGAGGGACUGGGAGGGGAGCUGGGGGCACUGGG